UUUUAACAUAGACACUAACCCUUUUAUAUCUCAGUAGGUUUUAUAGUUUUUAGUUACUUUGGGAAAACUACCUAGGGUUCACCUACUCUAUAUCCUAGAGUAGGUGAAGGUGUUGUUGAGAUUAGGUUAAACAUGAAGGGGGCAAUUUAAAGAAAAACACCUUAGGAAGCAGGCAGGUUCAGAAAUAUGGGAAUUUUUAAUUAUGUGAAUCUCUAUCAUCAGCAGAAAUUUACAAUGAGAAGCCAACCCAAAAGAGGACAUGGUAGUAUUAACAGAUAAAAAGUGUAGUUUUUGUUGGUAACAUUAUUUUUUAAAAUACCCCUGUUGCCAUUAUUUUUAAAUAUUGCUUCCAAGAGUGUUGACAGUCACUUGUAUUAUAAAUACAUGGCUCACUUUUUACUGAGUGUCAACUUAUUCUUUGCUUAAUGACUGGUACCCUGCCUGCAGAACAUGUUACUAUCUCAUAUGACAACAGUAUGAACUCUUAACUUUAAAUGAGCUUCCUUCGCUGAUUACUGACUGCGAGUACUGCUCUUCUGUUUCUUGGUUUUUUUAAUGGCUGGAAACAUUAAUUUAAACUAAAAUAAUUGUAUAUAAGAUGAAAUGUUGAACAAAAACUCUUCAUGAUUUUAGUUAGAACUUCCAGUUUCUACUACGUACUAAUAAGUUAUAUUACAUUUUCUUCCAAAUGAUACAUAGAUAUUUCUGACUCAGAGGCAAGAUUCUGGAAAUGGAUGGGGGAAGAAGUUGGUACUCUGCCCUGGGAUUAUGAAACAGGAAGCUAUGAUAAAUUAUCUAAAUUUACAGGAACUAAAACAGUGGAAAAGCAGACGAAAGACCCUAGAAUUUCCCAUAAGCCUGCAUAUUUGGAUAGUCUUGUUGGAAAAGCUUAGUUGUUCUUGUUGCCUAAUAUGUUUUAAAACCUAAGUAGUGAUUUUGCAACUCCAAAAGAACAGUCCGAAAAAUAAAUAAAAUUUAGAGUUAGAAUAAUCUUAAAACUGUCUUUUAAGUGAUAUCUUUUGCAGAGAUUCUCCUGAAGCUAGGGUCAGGCUUUCCUUUGUGCUUCCUCCUUCUUUCCACUUGCCACCCCACUUGCUGACCACCUCCAGAGAUGAGCGUCUUGCAAGGGCUAAUGCAAAAGAGGAAUUCCUAAUUAUUCUUUUACUCUCAGAGAGUCCAACCAGUUCUAGUUUAGUUCUAAGGUCGAUAUUACUGACUACCGCUGUCCUUGGGCAUUCAGAGAACCUGGAUCAUUUCCAGAGUCCCACAGAUCAUUUUCAGAUACCCUUGGGGAUCAUGUUUAUAGGACUUCAACAGAGUAGAUGCAAUCCAGUUUGAAAUACAGGCUGAAGCCAAUUUAAUUGUAGUUUAGAUAUGACUGAAAACGAACCUUCCUAUUCGCCAACCCCAUGCAGACAGCUUGAACAUAAAACUAUUACCCUUGCAUGUGGGGCAGCUGCUUAAAAACUCACUCUCUUCCAGUCUGCCAACAAACUGAAGAGCAAAGUUCACCUGGAACUUCUCUAAGCAAAGAAUGCAUUAGUAAAGGCAAAAAAUUACUGACCCUCUAGUUAGGGAGAAAAAUGCUAACCCAUAUCUUGUCAAAAUAAUAAUAGUAUCUAACACAUGUAGAACUUACAACAUGCUAGAUGCUUUUCUCAGCCCUUUUCUCAUAUUAGCUAAUUUAAUCCUCACAACAAUCUUAAAUGUGGUAACUAUUGUUAUACCUGCUUAAUAGAUGAGAAAAGUAAAACACAAGUUUACAUGGGUAGUAAAUGGCAUAGCCAGGAUUUAACCUUAGACAGUCUGGUUCUAGCAUUUGUAUUAAUAAUCAUCAUUCUUUCUUCCCUAGAAAGGAGAGGCUGAAUUGAUUGAGGGGCCAAAUGUAUAAGGAUGGAUUCAGGGUACUGUUUAUAUGUAUGUAUGUGUGUGAGCAUAUGUAUAAAAAUAUGCAUAUAAAUUGAACAUGAUCCAGUUUGAAUCUCUGAGAAUAUUUUUAAUAAUCAUCAU
rnacentral:lncRNA from 1 species